UACGAAGGGGGCUAGCGUUGCUCGGAAUCACUGGGCGUAAAGCGCACGUAGGCGGAUUGCUAAGUCAGGGGUGAAAUCCUGGAGCUCAACUCCAGAACUGCCCUUUGAUACUGGUGAUCUUGAGUCCGGGAGAGGUGAGUGGAACUGCGAGUGUAGAGGUGAAAUUCGUAGAUAUUCGCAAGAACACCAGUGGCGAAGGCGGCUCACUGGCCCGGUACUGACGCUG
rnacentral:rRNA from 1 species